rnacentral:piRNA from 1 species
UAGACAGUAAUUCUUGGGGUCUGAUAGGU